CACAAACAAUCCUUUUGCUUGUAAACGGAUAAGCAGUAACUUGUGCUUCAGCAAGUUUCGUCAGAAUUUGACAGAGUUCUCCAGUUAUUUGUUAAAAUGGAAAUGUGGCCUACACCCAUAUUUGGAUAAGUAGUUCUCUAGAGACGGCUGUGCUGAGCAGAUGGAAUUAUGUGCAGCACUAAACAGAACAUUCCAGUAGAUCUGAUACAUCGACACUCCAAGGACACUCCACUCGGAGGGGGCAUUGAUUGGUACUCGGUUGUAAAGGUGGUAAUCCUUGGUGACUGCAUUUGGGGAAGGGUGCAGAUAUUUUCACAUGAUAUGUUUGGUUGGCAAAUCAUGUUUUAACCCUUGUAAAAAUAUUUGACUGCAAUUUGUAUGCUAUGCUUUUGUUUGCCUUUAACGUCUCAGUGACUUUGAAUAAAAACCCAUUUCACUG